rnacentral:rRNA from 1 species
UACGUAGGGCGCAAGCGUUAUCCGGAAUUAUUGGGCGUAAAGAGCUCGUAGGCGGUUUGUCGCGUCUGCUGUGAAAACCCGAGGCUCAACCUCGGGCCUGCAGUGGGUACGGGCAGACUAGAGUGCGGUAGGGGAGUGUGGAAUUCCCGGUGUAGCGGUGAAAUGCGCAGAUAUCGGGAGGAACACCAGUAGCGAAGGCGGCACUCUGGGCCGUGACUGACGCUGAGGAGCGAAAGCGUGGGUAGCAAACAGG